AGACGCGGCGGCCGGGCGGUCGGAUCCGUGAGCCUCGGCCGCUGGGGCUACAUACACAGCCCAGGACGCCACAGAAUCGCCGAGGCCCCGCGAACGCCCAAACGGCCGCAAGUCGAAGUGAUCCCAUCUGAAGAAGACAGCGCGAGGAAGCGAGACCCUGCUGUGUGCCGGCCCCCGGAGGGCGCCCCGGGCCCUGUGGGUCGGAGGGUGGGGAAGCACAGAGAAACACGCAGGCAGUAAAACGUUAGGAGGACAGGGGGUGCCAGCGUGCAGGAAAUGCUGCUAAGAGACCUUUAGGAGCCAAGGGGAAAACGGAGAGAUUGGCAGUUCCAGGCACCCACAUCCCAGCGCGGUCCGCUCACCCCUUCCUCCCUGCCCUCCAGGCAGCGCUCAGCCCACGGUAGAAAUGUCUUGCAUCUUUUUUCCGACGAGGAAGAAUUGAACUUUUUAUACCCAACUUUUCUGCUUUCUUAGAAAUGUUGACUCACCUGUGAGGAAGCAUUAUUUGAAACUAUUAUUGUAAAUUGCUUGACAUUUGAAUUAGAUGCUGAAAGAUUAAAGGGUCUCAGAAGAAUCUUUUAAGCUAGACUGGAAUUGACUCUGCCUAAAUGGACAGCAACAGUCAUCUAUACGCAGGAAUAAUAAAGCAGGUGGAGGCAGCCUCUAACUUACCUUCCAGCCACACCGUAGAAUUUCCUGAGCAGGCUUUUUUGUCAGAGUUUUGAGCUGGGUUCCCUGAGACUGGAUUGGGGCUUUCAGUUUCUCCCCUUCUAGAGUCAGACUUCUUCCUGAAGAAAAAGUGUUAUCUCUACUUCCCUAUCACAAACACUUCCUAGAACACAGCCCUGUUAAAAGGUCCUGAGUGAGCCCCUUUGCUGUGCAGAACAAUGGUGAUACAUACAGGCGAGAGCAAAACCCACGAGGUGUCCACCUCACGGCCGACCACAAGAGAUCCUCAAGAGACACAUCUCAGGAAUGAUUCUGAACCUUCUUCACCAAAUAAAAUAUUCCAGAAAUAGUAUUAGA